rnacentral:lncRNA from 1 species
GAUCAUGUUAAUUUCAUUACAGAAAUUCUUUCCUAAACAAUGUAUUUGUGUUUAUAUUUAUAUGGUACUUCAUAAUACUUUCAUUCUGGAUGAGGAAUUCUUUGGCUUGACAGACUGUUGAUACUUUGUUGUAGGAGGCUGUACUGCGCAUUAUAGGAUGUUUAGCAACAUCCCCAGCCCCUAUUGCAUAGAGUCAGUAGCAUGUAGACAGUUGUGACAAUCAAAAAUAUUUCUAGACAUUGCCAAAUAUUCCCUGGGAGGUAAAAUCACUCUUAGUAGAAAUUAGGUGUGAAAUUUCAUUUCUAAAGGUAUUAGGGUUUACCUGUAACAAAACAAAACCAAAAAAUUGCUUAGAUUAGGCUGUACUAGGAAGCAUUCCUGGUUUUUUUUGAUCUUCUUUCCCGCUAUGCACCAAUAACUUCCCAAGACCUCACAACCUGAUUUAUCAGAGCAUGCGCAAAAAUUCUGUAGAAACUUCUGUACUCUACAGUAUUUCUCUGCUUCCCAGAAAGAUCAGUAUCUUCUUCUUUUUUUAAAUUUGGAAUUCCAAUCAAGCAGUGUUUUCCUGAGACCCUGGGUUUGAUGUAUAAUGUUAGGAAUAUGGAUGAUUUAACAGAUUUGAAUUGUGUAUACCAUGUGCUUCUUGCACAAUGAAUUUGUUGGAUCAAUAAGUAUUAUAAUUAUUUUUUUCUUAGAUAUAAAUUUACAGACCUUAAAGAAUGUGUAGCUAUUGUCUUUUGCUUUGUAAAUCCUUGUUCUUUGGAAUCUUAAAGAAAAUUAAGAGGCAAUUAUAAUUUUAGAAAUGACCUACAUACCCAGAUUUGUCAGGUAACACUGGUGUCCAAACCAGCCUGCCUCUAGAUACAUAACAUUAAGAAAAAAUGCCCUGUAGUCCUCAUAGGUUGCCCUCUGCUUCAGAGACCCCCAUUGCUUUAGCAGUGAUGCUGGUGUAAUCAUUAAGAAGAAGGAGGAGGAGAUGCUCUGUUUUCAGUUUUUUUUCCCUAUCAAGAUAACUUCCAGCAAUCUAGAGAAACAACAUUCUAGGAAAGCAGAUGAUUGUGAGAAAAAAAGAAAUGUUGAAAGGCUUCCUCCUUUCUCCUUCAAUUAGAAAUGUACCUCUAAAUUUCAUUAGAAUCAAUUAGCUGUCUCCAAGUAUUGUCCGUGGAUAUAGUAACAAAAAUAGGUCAAAUUCUCAUUCUUAUCUCUGGCUGCUCACUGAUUUACUCUCCAGUUUCUUGAAACAGCACUCCACACACACCUGCUUUCCACAUACACCAGGAAGUGUCCCACAUAUGCUCAUCAAUAUUUGCUCACAAUUCAGGUGAUCACUGACAGGUCCCCCACUGCAUGACAUCUCUAAAAACUUCUGGUGAGUUUAGAUUUGGUAUCAUGCCAGCAAUAUCAAAUGUAAUCCUACCACUGCCUUUCUAACUUCAUCUCCUACUGUGCUUCGCCUUACUCUGGGCUCAAGAGGACUGGCUUUCUUUCUGUUUCUCUGAUACAUCACAUUUGCUUCUGCCUCAUAGCCAUUGUGUUUAUUGUUUUCUCUGCCCAGAACGUUCUUAACCUUUGCAUGACUGGUUCUGUUUUUAUCAUUCACCAAGGUUAAACUGCAGCUUCCUCAGAGAGGACAUCUCACAAUCACGCUCUGUCUCAUUACUAUGUUACCAUGUACCACUGUUUGAAAUUUUAUUUCUUUGUUUACCAUCUGUAUCCUUCACUAGAAUGCCAGCC